AAAUAAAAUUUAUUCCGAGGCUAUUUAUAAUACAAUAAUUAUUUAUCAACCCAUUGACGAGUUUCUACGGUUAAGAUAACUAAUUAUCUGGUAUUCAUAGCGUUACUAAAUAAAUUUCUGAAGAAUUCAUUGGAAUACAAAGAACAAUAAUAGACAAUCAGGUAGUAGAGAAGACAGUCGAGCAGACUACAAACAAGACUAGUAGUGAGAUUUGUCAUGGUCACUGUAAAUUGGGUGUAA
rnacentral:lncRNA from 1 species